CAGUCGCGUUGGCUAGAAAUCAACAUUGCUCUUGCUUUGUGUAUUUUCUGGUUGACGGGUCAGCAUCAAUUUUGGCCAUUGGAUAAAGGCAUUGGGAAUGUGGCAUCUCAGGAUGUGUUAUAGUUUCUGGUCGUAUACAUCGGUUGGGAUUGAGGAACUCAGCACGCCGCAAGGUCGGGGUUCGCCCACGUUCGUGCUUAGGGUGCUGGCAUAAUGACUUUAAUCGACCCGUCUUGAAACACGGACCAAGGAGUCUAACAUGUGUGCGAGUGUU
rnacentral:rRNA from 1 species